ensembl:snRNA U6 U6 spliceosomal RNA
AUCCUCGCUUUGGUAGCAUGUAUACUAACCCUGGAGUGAUACAGAGGAGAUUAGCAUGGCCCCUGUGCAGGGAUGACACACACAUUGGUGAAACAUUCCAUAGUUUU